ACAAAAUAUAGAGUAUUUUGGGCCUUGUUGACUGAGUUUUGAAGAGUUUCUGAACUAUGAAGAAGAAAUGUAAAGCAAACUUCAACUGAUGCAAGUGUUAUUAAAUUUGAUUGCAGAGAUAGGAAUACUGGAAUAUGGGAUGAGGUUUCCAUUUCUAUUACUGGGCCAGUAAAAAUAAUUGAUCCCCACUUGGUGUCAUCAUUUUUUGACAAUUAUAAGAGAGUAUAUAUACAUACCACAACUGAGUUGGAAAACAGGAGCUCCUGGACUGCUGAGUGCUCUUUGAGUAUCCAUGCCACAACAGAACUUGAGGGGAGCAUUCACUUAGUAGAGCAACUUCAAACUCAAAAUCUUUCAAUUCCUGCAAGAUCACGGGUGCAAUAUACAUUUCCUGAGCUCUUCUUCUACAAGCCCAAUUUAUGGUGGCCAAAUGGAAUGGGGAAGCAAUCUUUGUACAAUGUUAUUAUUAACAUUGAUGUUAAAGGAUAUGGUGAGUCUGAUUCAUGGAGCCAUUACUUUGGAUUGCGCAAAAUUGAAAGCCAUAUCGAUGAUGCUACUGGUGGAAGAUUGUUCAAAGUCAAUGGACAACCAAUUUUUAUACGAGGGGGUAACUGGAUAUUGUCUGAUGGGCUCCUGCGACUUUCGAAGAAGCGAUACGAAACAGAUAUCAAGUUUCAUGCAGAUAUGAAUUUUAACAUGAUUCGAUGCUGGGGUGGUGGACUCGCUGAAAGGCCAGAGUUUUAUCAUUAUUGUGAUUAUUAUGGUAUU